rnacentral:rRNA from 1 species
GCUGAAUUUAAGCAUAUUAUUAAGCGGAGGAAAAGAAACUAACCAGGAUUCCCCUAGUAAGGGCGACUGAAGCGGGACCUGCUCAGGAUGUGAAUCUGCGCUUUGCGCUGAAUUGUGGUCUGUAGACAGUGGUGUUACUGGCCGGGCCAAGUCCCUUGGAAAAGGGCAGCUGAGAGGGUGAGACUCCCGUCCGCCCGGCUAGAUGAGCCGCUAGUCAACGAGUCGAGUUGUUUGGGAUUGCAGCUCUAAUUGGGUGGUAAAUUCCAUCUAAAGCUGAAUAUUGGUGGGAGACCGAUAGCGUACAAGUACCGUGAGGGAAAGAUGCAAAGAACUUUGAAAAGAGAGUUAAAGAGUACCUGAAAUUGCUGAAAGGGAAGCGAAGGAAACCAGUGUUAGACUUGUUAUACUUCCCUGGCCACUUGUGGCUUGGGCGCUGUGGCUGGUUUUGCGUCUUACUUGUUUGCGACUUUCAGAAGGGCGUCUAGGGAGUUGACCUGGAUUGCUAGUGUUAGUCUUGAAUGAGUGUGACGAAAUGGUUUUCUUUACCCCGUCUUGAAACACGGACCAAGGAGUCUAACAUAUGUGCGAGUACAGGGGUGGCAAACCCCCGUGCGGAAUGAAAGUGACAGUGGUUGGACAAUUUUUGCACAAUCCGCCGGCCUCAAUCCCUUGGGAGAAUGGUCUGAGUGUGAGCAUACAUGUUGGGACCCGAAAGAUGGUGAACUAUGCCUGAAUAGGGUGAAGCCAGGGGAAACUCUGGUGGAGGCUCGUAGCGAUUCUGACGUGCAAAUCGAUCGUCAAAUUUGGGUAUAGGGGCGAAAGACUAAUCGAACCAUCUAGUAGCUG